rnacentral:rRNA from 1 species
UACGGAGGGCGCAAGCGUUGUUCGGAAUCACUGGGCGUAAAGCGCGUGUAGGCGGCUUGGCAAGUCGGGUGUGAAAUCCCGAGGCUCAACCUCGGAACUGCACUCGAAACUGCUUGGCUCGAGUCCCGGAGAGGGUGGCUGAAUUCCCGGUGUAGGGGUGAAAUCCGUAGAUAUCGGGAGGAAAACCAGUGGCGAAUGCGGCCACCUGGACGGUGACUGACGCUGAGACGCGACAGCGUGGGGAGCAAACAUG